CUCACAUUUUCCCCCAGGUUUCACACUCACCAGGCCAUGCAAAUGCAGCAAGGCAUCUAUUGUGAGUUUGUGACACAGUGAGUUGAAAAUCUCAUAGCACAGGGACAGAGAAAGACAGAAAGAGAACAGCAUUAAAACUCUUGCCCCUCAUGCUUUCAUUGCCUACAGUUUCCCCUCAGCAUGUCAUGCAAACUCGCCCUUUCUCUUUCAGGAUGACUUCUGCAGUGGUAACAUCUUGUGCACUGAAGAUGUUGCCUAGUUGAGUAACGAAACAUCUGCAAGCAAACAACCAAGCUCAGAGAGCACCACAGUUCAACCCUGAGCUACAGAUAUUCUUUUUGAUUGGCAUCUCUUGUUUAUUUCCUGCAAUCUCUUUGGUUGUUUACUAUUAGUUGGACCACACUGCUGCAGCAGUGCCAUAACUGCUAUGAAAUGAGAUCCACCUCCAGACGUCAAGGGGAAGAGUGGAUUUUGCAAUGGACAGGAAACAAAUAUGACAACCGGCUGUAAAAUAAACACCAGAGAUCCUUCCUCUCUGCAUUCAAGAAGGACAUAUUUUGCUGGCGCUGAUUAUAAAUACGGAUAGCAUGAAAUAUUCAUAUAAUCCCUAGGUACCAACUCACAGCAUUUCCACUCCACUGGAAAGAAAAUGCAGUAACCUUGCGUUGCAGACUGUCAGAGUACAGAGGUGAUGAGCAGAGAGUAGGCUGAGUUGGAAAAACUGGACUGACAAAACCCCCCAUGUUUGGGAUGGGAUGGAAGAAGGCACUUGGAAACAAGAUGUCUGAUGCAUUGACUGCAUGCCUGCUGGCCGGCCCUGUUAUUAAGAGAGCCAAGAGAGUCAAUCGCCCCGGUCAAUUUUAUUGUGGUAACAUCCUCCACAAGGAGUGAAGACUUGGGGCAGCGGGUGUGAGUGCACGUGGAUAGGAUUUGGUCUGUCAGGGUAUGUUUCCCUUGUGGUGGAUGCACUACUUCCCAUAUCCUUUGAUAAAAAGAAGCCUGCCUGCAUCAGUAUUGGAAGAGAAACAGACAUAAAGACUGUUCAGCCACAGUGGUGGUACAACAAGGCACUUUUGCUCCAUAUCAGUUUGGCAACCACAAAGGGCUGCAGGAAUUCUUAACCUUAAGUGCCAGAUUAAUCCACUAGAAUCUGCAUGGAUUAACAAGCAGAAAUCAAAUUGCACUCAAAAGGUGUUUGAGUGAAGCCACCUUUCCAUAACUGGGGGUGAUUUGGGUUCUGCUCUGUUAAUACAAUUUAGCAAGACCUGUGUACAUCAUUUUUCUGGGACAAGGCUAUGCAACUCAAGCCCUGGGAGUGCUGUGGUACCCAACCUAUUUUGUGGCCUCCAGUCACAAUGAUCAAGCAUCAGUGUUAUAGUUUUCUGGGUUUAAUUUUGUAUUAAGCAAAGAAAAAACAAUGCAAGGCCUACAAAAAUACAACCCCCC